rnacentral:rRNA from 1 species
UACGGAGGUGGCAAGCGUUGUUGGGACUUACUGGGCGUAAAGGGCGCGUAGGCGGACCUUGAAGUCAGGGGUGAAAGGCCUGGGCUCAACCUGGGAACUGCCUUUGAAACUGGAGGUCUUGAGUCCGGGAGAGGAUGGCGGAAUUCCCAGUGUAGAGGUGAAAUUCGUAGAUAUUGGGAAGAACCCCGGUGGCGAAGGCGGCCAUCUGGUCCGGCACUUACGCUGAGGCGCGAAAGCGUGGGGAGCAAACAGG